CGUAGGUGAACCUGCGGAAGGAUCAUUAACGAAUCCUAGCCGUUGUUGCCUGGACGUGGCAACGGUGAAACACCGUGCACUGGCAGCCGAUGAUGGGAGACCGUGGAGGUGUGCUGCCGGCAUUGAAUUGGAUGCCGCACUUAAAUCGGUGGGGAUCACCAUUUCACCGCCCACCGGGCCUCAAAGGGUGUCUCUCGUCUUUGGUUUUUUGUGUGAUCAUUUUUAAUACUUUGUGUCAUUUUGGUGCAAUGUGUCGGUUGGAAAAUUUGACAACUUCUGACGGUGGAUCUCUUGGCUCGUGCAUCGAUGAAGAACGCAGCAAGCUGCGAUACCUAGUGUGAAUUGCAGAAUUCAGUGAAUCAUCGAGUCUUUGAACGCAAAUGGCGCUCCCGGGGUCUCCUCGGGAGCAGGUCUGUCCGAGCGUCCGCCACCUGAAAACGUUGUCGUACAUGCUACGACAAGAGUGAGGGGCUGCAUCGCAAACCGCAGUGCACCCCUUGAAGAACACACUGCAUUGUGGACGGUGGACCGCGACCGAGCUCCGGUGAGACAAUCGUCGCAACGGCAUAAACGGUUGCGUCGUUGUAUCUGGUCGGUGCCGUCGUUUGUCCACGCCUGCCCACGAACGAUCUCAGGAAUG
rnacentral:misc_RNA from 1 species